AUGGCGGUGUCGGCGCUUCCUCGGACGAUGGACGCGCUGACGCGGCGGGCGACCAUGCUGCGCGACUCGCUGCACAAGAGCCAGGGGAACACGGACGGCAUGGUCGCCAUCCUCGGCUCCUUCGACCACCGCCUCUCCGCGCUCGAGGCCGCCAUGCGCCCCACCCAGGUGAGGACGCAUGCGAUCCGGAUGGCGCACGAGAACAUCGACAAGACGCUCAAGGCCGGCGAAGCCAUCCUCGCCCAGUUCGACCUCACCCGUCGGGCCGAGGCAACGAUAUUAAGAGGUCCCCAUGAGGAUUUGGAGAGCUACUUGGAGGCAGUGGAUACGCUGAAAGGAAUCUCCCGCUUCUUUUCCUCGAAUAAGAACUUCAGAAGCAGUGAAGGAAUUCUGAAUCACGUCAACGGUCUCUUAGCGAAGUCUUCUCUGAAGAUUGAAGAAGAAUUUAAGCAGCUGAUGACUACAUACAGCAAACCAAUUGAGCCCGAUCGUCUCUUUGAUUGUCUACCCAAGUCUCUGCGGCCAUCAAAAGACGACGAGGAUGAGAAUGCUAACCAGUCUGACCAUCCAUCCAAAGGCUUGGAAACUGCUGUAUACAAGAUACCGACACUAGUUCCUCCAAGAAUACUGCCACUCAUGAAUGACAUAGCCCAGCAGUUGGUUCAGGCUGGAAAUCAACAGUCAUGCUACAAAAUUUACAGAGAGUCCCGUGGUUCAGCACUAGAGUCGAGCCUUCGCAAGCUGGGAGUAGAAAAACUUACUAAAGAUGACGUGCAAAAGAUGCAAUGGGAGGCUUUGGAGGCUAAGAUUGGAAACUGGAUACAGUUUAUGCGUAUUGCGGUUAAACUACUACUAACUGGAGAAAGAAAAAUCUGCGAUCAGAUUUUUGAGGGUGGCAACUUUAACAAGGACCAAUGUUUUGCAGAAAUGGCAACAAAUAGUGUCGUGACUCUUCUCAGCUUUGGAGAUGCUGUUGCAAAAAGCAAAAGGUCUCCUGAAAAGCUGUUUGUAUUGCUAGACAUGUACGAAGUAAUGCGUGAACUUCAACCGGAGAUUGAGGUGGUUUUCGAAGGAAAGGCUUGCUCUGAGAUGAGAGAGGCUGCAUUGGGCUUGACUAAGCGCUUGGCACAAACUGCUCAAGAAACCUUCGCUGAUUUUGAGGAGGCAGUUGAAAAGGAUGCUUCAAAGACUAUCGUUCAAGAUGGAACUGUGCAUCCUCUGACAAGCUAUGUGAUUAAUUAUGUUAAAUUCCUAUUUGAUUAUCAGUCGACGCUGAAGCUUCUGUUUCAGGAAUUCGAAACUGGUAAUGAGACAGAAUCUCAGCUUGCUGUUGUUACUACGAGGAUAAUGCAAGCACUACAGAAUAACCUAGAUGGAAAAUCUAAACAAUAUAAGGAUCCUGCGCUAACUCACUUAUUUCUUAUGAACAAUGUUCACUAUAUGGUUAGAUCUGUUCGCAGAUCAGAAGCAAAGGAUAUACUUGGCGAUGACUGGAUUCAGAGGCACCGUAGAAUUGUGCAGCAAAAUGCCAAUCAGUACAAACGUGUUGCUUGGGCAAAGGUUCUUCAGGCACUUUCCGUACAAGGUGCGCCAGGCAGCACUGGUUCGUCGACACCAGCAGACCUUAACAGCAGCGGAGUUUCAAGAGCUGUGAUCAAAGAACGGUUUAAAGCUUUCAAUACGCAAUUUGAAGAACUUCAUGCGAAGCAAUCUCUAUGGAUUGUACCUGAUCAAGAAUUGCGUGAAUCGUUGAGGCUUGCUAUAGCUGAGGUUCUGUUACCAGCCUAUCGAUCUUUCAUAAAACGUUUUGGCAAUGUUGUUGGGAGCGGCAAGAAUCCGCUGAAGUACAUCAGAUACAGCCCUGAACUGGUGGACAAACUCCUGAACGAGUUCUUUGAAGGGCAGCAAUAUGGUGAGCCGAAGCACCAACAUCGCCUGUAA
rnacentral:rRNA from 1 species